AAACUAUAAGCUAGAGGAUGAGAGAGGUUAUUGGAAUUCCCAGUGUAGGAGUGAAAUCGUAGAUAUUGGGAGGAACACCGAUGGCGUAGGCAGAUAACUGGCUCAUUCUGACGCUAAGGCACGAAAGCGUGGGGAGCAAACGGGAUUAGAUACCCCGGUAGUCCACGCCGUAAACUAUGGAUGCUAGCUGUUAUAGGUAUCGACCCCCUGUAGUAGCGAAGCUAACGCGUUAAGCAUCCCGCCUGUGGAGUACGGUCGCAAGACUAAAACAUAAAGGAAUUGACGGGGACCCGCACAAGCGGUGGAGCGUGUUGUUUAAUUCGAUGGUAAGCGAAGAACCUUACCCAGGCUUGACAUCCUUGGAAGCACUGCGAAAGCAGAGUGUGCCUUUUGGAACCAAGUGACAGGUGUUGCAUGGCCGUCGUCAGCUCGUGUCGUGAGAUGUUUGGUUAAGUCCAUCAACGAGCGCAACCCUUGUGAUUAGUUGAAUUUUUCUAAUCAGACUGCCCUGGCAACAGGGAGGAAGGGGGGGAUGAUGUCAGGUCAGUAUUACCCUUACGUCUGGGGCUACAAACACGCUACAAUGGCCGGUACAAAGGGCAGCCAAGUCGCGAGACGGAGCAAAUCCCAUCAAAGCCGGUCCCAGUUCGGAUAGCAGGCUGAAACUCGCCUGCUUGAAGUUGGAAUCGCUAGUAACGGUAGGUCAGCACACUACCGUGAAUACGUUCCCGGGUCUUGUACACACCGCCCGUCAAACCAUGAAAGUCGCCAAUACCUGACGUGUUAGCUAGUCUA
rnacentral:rRNA from 1 species